rnacentral:rRNA from 1 species
GAUGAACGCUGGCGGCGUGCCUAAUACAUGCAAGUCGAGCGAACGGACGAGAAGCUUGCUUCUCUGAUGUUAGCGGCGGACGGGUGAGUAACACGUGGAUAACCUACCUAUAAGACUGGGAUAACUUCGGGAAACCGUAGCUAAUACCGGAUAAUAUUUUGAACCGCAUGGUUCAAAAGUGAAAGACGGUCUUGCUGUCACUUAUAGAUGGAUCCGCGCUGCAUUAGCUAGUUGGUAAGUUAACGGCUUACCAAGGCAACGAUGCAUAGCCGACCUGAGAGGGUGAUCGGCCACACGGGAACUGAGACACGGUCAAGACUCCUACGGGAGGCAGCAGUAGGGAAUCUUCCGCAAUGGGCGAAAGCCUGACGGAGCAACGCCGCGUGAGUGAUGAAGGUCUUCGGAUCGUAAAACUCUGUUAUUAGGGAAGAACAUAUGUGUAAGUAACUGUGCACAUCUUGACGGUACCUAAUCAGAAAGCCACGGCUAACUACGUG